rnacentral:tRNA from 2 species
AGGCGCGUAGCUCAGUGGGAGAGCGCUACCUUGACACGGUAGAGGUCGGCGGUUCGAAACCGCCCGCGCCUACCA